CCGGCCCGGGCCCUGCUCCCGCUGGAGCCACCCUGGGUUCUGCCCCCGCUGCGGAGCUGCAGCCUCCAGGGGCCAGUGACCUUCAAGGAGGUGGCUGUGUAGAAGAGUGGGCUCUGCUGGACCCUGCUUAGGAGCCCUGUACAGCCAAGUCAUGCAGAAGAACUAUGAGAGCGUGACCUCGCUGGCAGGUGACGCAAUGGUAUGUGAGAAAGAGGAGCAGAAUUCUCAGCCGGAAAAUGUUGAGCAAGUGGAUAAACACAGGGAAUUAUCACAAAGAUUGGAAAGGAAUGUAUCCAGGAGUCAUGAGCAGGGACAAUCGUGUGAGAUUCAGCACAGAUCAGAAAGAGAGCAAGGAAACCAGCCAGG